rnacentral:lncRNA from 1 species
CGUGUGUGCCGAGCAAGUUGUUGGCUUGUAUGUUCGUCAGGCUGCGAUGACGUUCAUUUGUGAGGUCGGGCUCGGGCUCAUCGGUGUUGAUGGAGCAUAAAGAAGCACAAUGUUUGAUGAGUGCAUCAUUCACAAGAACGAGACGCCGUCGACCCUGUGAAACAAAUGACGAGGUGAUGAGGGGAUGAGGUGGUUGGCUCAUCAUCUCCGCUCUCGCCGGAAUCAAACUGAAUGUAUCAAGACUGAAUCAUGGUCGCCGAGAUCGAGUCACCAAAGAGAUAAUCUUCACAAAUAAAAUUUAAACCCCAUUAAUAAUUAGACCUUGCAACUCACAAAAAAAAAAUGUAAGAGUUGAUAUGCUUUAUGACUUGAUACUCGGGCUAGCAUAUUAAUUUUUCCUUGCUGCUAGCAUAUUAAUUUUUCCUAGCAAGGGACAAGGGUUUACGUAUGACUACCAUAAUCCAUUAACUUUCCCAAUAAUUUUAAUAAAGCAAUUAGCUGCCAAACUAUCAAUAGACGUGCAUUUUGACGUUUUAAAGAAGGUGGUCUAAUGAUAAUAAUUAGUUAAUAUUGGGAAAACUUAUCUCAAUGUAUCGCUCUUGUCUGAGCUGAGAUGGUGGUGAGCUCUGCCUCAAUGGAUCGUUCUUGUCUGAGCUGAGAUGGUGGUAAGCUCUGUGUUCCACAGAACAAGUCGGCAAAGAGAAGCAAGAGCUUUUAAUGGAGGUGUGAUGACUGAUGUCAUUUCGUCAGAUUCUUUGCUGUUCGAGAAGCCAAGCUUAACGACGGGUUGGAAUGCGUUUUGCGCGGUGAACAAUCUUGUGAAGCCGAGUGGAAACAUAACAUGGCAGUAUUAAGCUGGAGCACGCCUUGUAAGGUGUUGCAGUCUUCACUCUCGCAAAGCGAGUCAUGGCGAGAAGAAGCUGUUGACUUUGGAGCUCAAUUUAGUAAGAAUAAAGCUUUGAAAAACAGAGCUCAAGUCGUCAAUAAGCUGUCCUUGAUGGGGCUUGAAGGAUCAAGUCUUUGCCGUGUCUCGUGUCUGAACAACAGCUUGGAGACCAAAGGUAUGAGCGAAGCAGUUGCUCAUCUGACCAGACAAGAACUCGAUCCAACAACGCAGUGAAGAACAUGUGUUUCUCAAGGCAGAUCAAGUGGUUGCUCAUCCGAUCAGAAGUUGAUGAGGAGGAAGAUGAUUCAGUGGAAGCCGAGCCAGAUAAGUUUCUGUUUGCUAUUUGCUUGUCUGGAGCUGGAGCUGCGUAUGAAUUACGUCGCUGCGAACGGAGAGGUAGUGAAAGCUGAGGAGAUCGCGGGAGCCGUAAGAUCUCUGACGGACGGUGAGGAUACGCCGGGGAAGAGAAUGAAGGAGAUGGCGGAAGCUGCGAGGAUGGCUCGUCUUCACGGCGGCGACGUUUGAGAUCGUGUGUCUGAUGUCGUUCUCUGGGAUUACGAACAUGAACUGCCAUUGUUGCUUCAUGUUAUUAUCAGCCCACCAAGUGCUCGAUGAAAGUCCCACCCGAAGAAAGCAAAGCUUUCAUGAGAAAGCUUCAUCCUUUAGCUUCACCUAGUGCUCGAUGAACUGCUUCUGCCGGGAUCGGAUCUUCUGAGGAUGAUAUGCCCAAACUGUCGAGAUCAACCCAAGAACGCCGAUAUCAAGUUCUGUCGAGGACUGUCGCGUUAUCAAAGCCGAGAACGUGAGUCUCGAACAGCUUCUCCUAUCUUGUGAUGAACAAACCGGAACGUGAGUCUCGAACAGCUUCUCCUAUCUUGUGAUGAACAAACCGGAACUGACGAGUAUCCACGGUAAGAAACAAGACGACAUCGUUGGUUCAUUCUCUCUCUUUUUCUUUUUUUUUUUUUUUUUUUUUUAUCCUAGAUCUAGGGUUUCCCAAGUUUGAUAUGCUAUCAAGAUUGUUCUCUUUGGCACCCUCCUUCUGGCGCCAACUGUUUGAACCGAAAAUGGUGUGUUUGUCGGAUUCAUACAAUGAAGAAUUUAAGAAAUAGAUUUCUUAGAUUCUUGAGGCUAAAGAGAAAUCAACAUAGAAAUCAAAUGGAAAAAGAACAUCAAAAAGAAUUUAUUGAUUAAAAAUUAUAUUACAUGUAUGAUUACAAGUGUAAAUAAAUCUAAGAAUCAAUAAACUCUUUGUAUGAAGUGUUUAAUAUGUCAAAUGGGAGGAGAGAGAUCUUUUCUCAUAAGGAAGUAACUCCUUAUUUAUAGAAAGAUGAAGCCUAGGGCUUCCCUAGGGCUUCCUAGUAAUAUGAGUCUAGUUCAAUGUCUAAUGGGCCUUGAGGAGGAUGUAAAUCAAUCCCCAACAGUAAGUCCCCCCAAGUUCGUUGAGAGAGAUGGAAUCGAUCUCUGCGAAGUUUACGAAUAGGGUUUAUUAGACAAUGAACUAGACACAUUCAUGCCUAUGACGGUUUAGGCGAGUUUAUUUCGAACUUGUGCCUAGUAAAAAGCGAGUUUGCUUUAAACUCGUGCUUAGCGAAAGACGAGUUUACUUGACUCAUGCUAAGACAGAGGCGAGUUUACUGAGAACUCGUGCCUAGUAGAAGGAGAGCUUCUGUAAACUCAUGCCUAGCCAAAGUUGAGUUUUUGUAAACUCGUGUCUAACAAUAAGCGAGUCGACCGCAAACUCGUGCCUAAUAAAAAGCAAGUUCAAUUUAAACUCGUGCCUAAAAUACAAGUUUACCGAACUAUUGCCGACCCGAAGUCUCGUGUUGAGAUCGUGUGUGCCGAGCAAGUUGUUGGCUUGUAUGUUCGUCAGGCUGCGAUGACGUUCAUUUGUGAGGUCGGGCUCGGGCUCAUCGGUGUUGAUGGAGCAUAAAGAAGCACAAUGUUUGAUGAGUGCAUCAUUCACAAGAACGAGACGCCGUCGACCCUGUGAAACAAAUGACGAGGUGAUGAGGGGAUGAGGUGGUUGGCUCAUCAUCUCCGCUCUCGCCGGAAUCAAACUGAAUGUAUCAAGACUGAAUCAUGGUCGCCGAGAUCGAGUCACCAAAGAGAUAAUCUUCACAAAUAAAAUUUAAACCCCAUUAAUAAUUAGACCUUGCAACUAAAAAAAAAAAAUGUAAGAGUUGAUAUGCUUUAUGACUUGAUACUCGGGCUAGCAUAUUAAUUUUUCCUUGCUGCUAGCAUAUUAAUUUUUCCUAGCAAGGGACAAGGGUUUACGUAUGACUACCAUAAUCCAUUAACUUUCCCAAUAAUUUUAAUAAAGCAAUUAGCUGCCAAACUAUCAAUAGACGUGCAUUUUGACGUUUUAAAGAAGGUGGUCUAAUGAUAAUAAUUAGUUAAUAUUGGGAAAACUUAUCUCAAUGUAUCGCUCUUGUCUGAGCUGAGAUGGUGGUGAGCUCUGCCUCAAUGGAUCGUUCUUGUCUGAGCUGAGAUGGUGGUAAGCUCUGUGUUCCACAGAACAAGUCGGCAAAGAGAAGCAAGAGCUUUUAAUGGAGGUGUGAUGACUGAUGUCAUUUCGUCAGAUUCUUUGCUGUUCGAGAAGCCAAGCUUAACGACGGGUUGGAAUGCGUUUUGCGCGGUGAACAAUCUUGUGAAGCCGAGUGGAAACAUAACAUGGCAGUAUUAAGCUGGAGCACGCCUUGUAAGGUGUUGCAGUCUUCACUCUCGCAAAGCGAGUCAUGGCGAGAAGAAGCUGUUGACUUUGGAGCUCAAUUUAGUAAGAAUAAAGCUUUGAAAAACAGAGCUCAAGUCGUCAAUAAGCUGUCCUUGAUGGGGCUUGAAGGAUCAAGUCUUUGCCGUGUCUCGUGUCUGAACAACAGCUUGGAGACCAAAGGUAUGAGCGAAGCAGUUGCUCAUCUGACCAGACAAGAACUCGAUCCAACAACGCAGUGAAGAACAUGUGUUUCUCAAGGCAGAUCAAGUGGUUGCUCAUCCGAUCAGAAGUUGAUGAGGAGGAAGAUGAUUCAGUGGAAGCCGAGCCAGAUAAGUUUCUGUUUGCUAUUUGCUUGUCUGGAGCUGGAGCUGCGUAUGAAUUACGUCGCUGCGAACAGAGAGGUAGUGAAAGCUGAGGAGAUCGCGGGAGCCGUAAGAUCUCUGACGGACGGUGAGGAUACGCCGGGGAAGAGAAUGAAGGAGAUGGCGGAAGCUGCGAGGAUGGCUCGUCUUCACGGCGGCGACGUUUGAGAUCGUGUGUCUGAUGUCGUUCUCUGGGAUUACGAACAUGAACUGCCAUUGUUGCUUCAUGUUAUUAUCAGCCCACCAAGUGCUCGAUGAAAGUCCCACCCGAAGAAAGCAAAGCUUUCAUGAGAAAGCUUCAUCCUUUAGCUUCACCUAGUGCUCGAUGAACUGCUUCUGCCGGGAUCGGAUCUUCUGAGGAUGAUAUGCCCAAACUGUCGAGAUCAACCCAAGAACGCCGAUAUCAAGUUCUGUCGAGGACUGUCGCGUUAUCAAAGCCGAGAACGUGAGUCUCGAACAGCUUCUCCUAUCUUGUGAUGAACAAACCGGAACGUGAGUCUCGAACAGCUUCUCCUAUCUUGUGAUGAACAAACCGGAACUGACGAGUAUCCACGGUAAGAAACUAGACCCAUAUUACUAGGAAGCCCUAGGCUUCAUCUUUCUAUAAAUAAGGAGUUACUUCCUUAUGAGAAAGGAUCUCUCUCCUCCCAUUUUGACAUAUUAAACACUUCAUACAAAGAGUUUAUUGAUUCUUAGAUUUAUUUACACUUGUAAUCAUACAUGUAAUAUAAUCUUUAAUCAAUAAAUUCUUUUUGAUAAUAACAUGAAGCAACAAUGGCAGUUCAUGUUCGUAAUCCCAGAGAACGACAUCAGACACACGAUCUCAAACGUCGCCGCCGUGAAGACGAGCCAUCCUCGCAGCUUCCGCCAUCUCCUUCAUUCUCUUCCCCGGCGUAUCCUCACCGUCCGUCAGAGAUCUUACGGCUCCCGCGAUCUCCUCAGCUUUCACUACCUCUCCGUUCGCAGCGACGUAAUUCAUACGCAGCUCCAGCUCCAGACAAGCAAAUAGCAAACAGAAACUUAUCUGGCUCGGCUUCCACUGAAUCAUCUUCCUCCUCAUCAACUUCUGAUCGGAUGAGCAACCACUUGAUCUGCCUUGAGAAACACAUGUUCUUCACUGCGUUGUUGGAUCGAGUUCUUGUCUGGUCAGAUGAGCAACUGCUUCGCUCAUACCUUUGGUCUCCAAGCUGUUGUUCAGACACGAGACACGGCAAAGACUUGAUCCUUCAAGCCCCAUCAAGGACAGCUUAUUGACGACUUGAGCUCUGUUUUUCAAAGCUUUAUUCUUACUAAAUUGAGCUCCAAAGUCAACAGCUUCUUCUCGCCAUGACUCGCUUUGCGAGAGUGAAGACUGCAACACCUUACAAGGCGUGCUCCAGCUUAAUACUGCCAUGUUAUGUUUCCACUCGGCUUCACAAGAUUGUUCACCGCGCAAAACGCAUUCCAACCCGUCGUUAAGCUUGGCUUCUCGAACAGCAAAGAAUCUGACGAAAUGACAUCAGUCAUCACACCUCCAUUAAAAGCUCUUGCUUCUCUUUGCCGACUUGUUCUGUGGAACACAGAGCUUACCACCAUCUCAGCUCAGACAAGAACGAUCCAUUGAGGCAGAGCUCACCACCAUCUCAGCUCAGACAAGAGCGAUACAUUGAGAUAAGUUUUCCCAAUAUUAACUAAUUAUUAUCAUUAGACCACCUUCUUUAAAACGUCAAAAUGCACGUCUAUUGAUAGUUUGGCAGCUAAUUGCUUUAUUAAAAUUAUUGGGAAAGUUAAUGGAUUAUGGUAGUCAUACGUAAACCCUUGUCCCUUGCUAGGAAAAAUUAAUAUGCUAGCAGCAAGGAAAAAUUAAUAUGCUAGCCCGAGUAUCAAGUCAUAAAGCAUAUCAAUUUUUUUUUAUCCUAGAUCUAGGGUUUUCCCAAGUUUGAUAUGCUAUCAAGAUUGUUCUCUUUGGCCCCCUCCUUCUAGCGCCAACUGUUUGAACCGAAAAUGGUGUGUUUGUCGGAUUCAUACAAUGAAGAAUUUAAGAAAUAGAUUUCUUAGAUUCUUGAGGCUAAAGAGAAAUCAACAUAGAAAUCAAAUGGAAAAAGAACAUCAAAAAGAAUUUAUUGAUUAAAGAUUAUAUUACAUGUAUGAUUACAAGUGUAAAUAAAUCUAAGAAUCAAUAAACUCUUUGUAUGAAGUGUUUAAUAUGUCAAAAUGGGAGGAGAGAGAUCUUUUCUCAUAAGGAAGUAACUCCUUAUUUAUAGAAAGAUGAAGCCUAGGGCUUCCUAGUAAUAUGGGUCUAGUUCAAUGUCUAAUGGGCCUUGAGGAGGAUGUAAAUCCAUCCCCAACAGUAAGUCCCCCCAAGUUCGUUGAGAGAGAUGGAAUCGAUCUCUGCGAAGUUUACGAAUAGGGUUUAUUAGACAAUGAACUAGACAUACUCAUGCCUAUGACGGUUUAGGCGAGUUUAUUUCGAACUUGUGCCUAGUAAAAAGCGAGUUUGCUUUAAACUCAUGCUUAGCGAAAGACGAGUUUACUUGACUCAUGCUAAGACAGAGGCGAGUUUACUGAGAACUCGUGCCUAGUAGAAGGAGAGCUUCUGUAAACUCAUGCCUAGCCAAAGUUGAGUUUUUGUAAACUCGUGUCUAACAAUAAGCGAGUCGACCGCAAACUCGUGCCUAAUAAAAAGCAAGUUCAAUUUAAACUCGUGCCUAAAAUACAAGUUUACCGAACUAUUGCCGACCCGAAGUCUCGUGUUGAGAUCGUGUGUGCCGAGCAAGUUGUUGGCUUGUAUGUUCGUCAGGCUGCGAUGACGUUCAUUUGUGAGGUCGGGCUCGGGCUCAUCGGUGUUGAUGGAGCAUAAAGAAGCACAAUGUUUGAUGAGUGCAUCAUUCACAAGAACGAGACGCCGUCGACCCUGUGAAACAAAUGACGAGGUGAUGAGGGGAUGAGGUGGUUGGCUCAUCAUCUCCGCUCUCGCCGGAAUCAAACUGAAUGUAUCAAGACUGAAUCAUGGUCGCCGAGAUCGAGUCACCAAAGAGAUAAUCUUCACAAAUAAAAUUUAAACCCCAUUAAUAAUUAGACCU